AGCGGCCGUCGGUGCAGAUCUU
rnacentral:snRNA from 1 species